GACAGAGGGUGCAACCGUUGCUCGGAAUCACUGGGCGUAAAGGGCGCGUAGGCGGACAAGUAAGUCGGGCGUGAAAUCCCUAGGCUCAACCUAGGAACUGCACUCGAAACUGCAUGUCUUGAGUACCGGAGAGGAAAGCGGAAUACCUGGUGUAGAGGUGAAAUUCGUAGAUAUCAGGUGGAACACCAGUGGCGAAGGCGGCUUUCUGGACGGUAACUGACGCUGAGGCGCGAAAGCGUGGGGAGCAAACAGG
rnacentral:rRNA from 1 species